rnacentral:lncRNA from 1 species
AUUUGAUGAGCACAGAGCACACACGAGUCAUGAGUUCAAUGACUGAGGAUGGCCUCGAGCCAGGAAACCAGGCCAAAGGUUGGAGAGCAUGACAGAGAGAGUAGGGCAAGGAUGAGCUGGGACUUUGAUGGAGGCUGUCACGCAGACUUGAAGAGCAUCAUAGGAACAAGCCCAUGGACAUUUCCCUGAAGAUGAAGGACCAUAACACCCCAUACAGUCUUUCAUAGGCUGGUCCAUGAAUGAAG